rnacentral:lncRNA from 1 species
UAAUAUUUAAUUAAUUUUUUUUGUAUAUAGUUAUGCUUUUUCUGCAUUAAUACAUACGGUAUAAUAUUAAAAAGAAAAUUAUAAACGUAAAAAAGUGUAUAUAUUUCUAUCGAAUGUUUUGAAAAUCGAUUUUUUUUAAUUGAAUCAGUCUAAUAACCGGUUCAAUUGUCGGUCUACAUCUACAUCUAGCAAUUGUAUGUGUUGGCUUGCGGGUUGUGUACAUUCCAAAUAACCUUAUUGAUCGACUUAUUGAAUUUUUUUCGGAAAUUGACUUUUUUUAAUGGACGAAGCUUAUCAAAGUUCAAUAAACCGAUUCAAACAAUUUUUUUCAUCAGUUUUUUAUCACAUUGGUUUCAACCCGAUUUUUGAAUAAACCAUCGUCUGGUUCAAUUCAGUUUAAAACUUAGCAUAAAACCGAUCGUUGUUUAACACCCCACCGUUUCAACAUCGGGCGGUUCAAACCAGUUUCUAAAACACUGUUUCCAUCAUCGUCUCUCACUGUCACCGCCACCUGUUUUGCGAAAUAAUCAACCAAUUUUGAUUUGUUAUAAAUCAUCCAAACAAACAAAUAUUUAUAAAAAAAGAAAACUAAUAAAUAUAUCCAACCCAAAAAAAUAUAUUAUAAUCCAAUUUCAAAUUUCAAUUUAAAUCAUCUAAAAGAUAACGUAUAGAAUCCCCAAAAACCCGUUAGGUGGCACCCUACCAGUCUCUCAAGAUUGACGCCUACAAUAAUAAGUGUACUAGUAGCUUCACACAAACGACAGAUUGUAAACAGAGGCCAUGCACACAAAACUAGGCACCAAUUUAGCUUUUCUGUUUUUAUAUUUUAUAAUCCUUCAAUUAUUUUUUUGAGUGGGUACAAUAUUGUACAUAUAUUGUUUUUAAAAUCAUAAUGUAACAUUUUUAUUACAGUCAUGUACGAAAGUCGCCGUGGACUUCGUUUCUCCGGAGAACAUACAAGAGUGCAUCCGACUAACACAGGAGUUCCGUAAGCUGCCCAUUAAUCACAAAGCUAGAGAAGACAAACUAGAGGUAUACAUUAUUAUUAUUUAUGUUAUUUAAGAGUUUUAAUUCUUUUUUAUGUGACAUGAACUGAAGUCGUGAAACUUUGACAAAGUUUUAUUUUUAGUUUAUAGCAUUUUAAAGUAUAUUUGUUUGUGUUGAAGGUAAAGAAAAUGAUCCUGCACGCUAUGCGUCAAGCCAUUGCUGAUUUUGAGGAAUUAACGACUAGCCAGAAGUCGGAAGUCUUAGUAGGGCAAUAAGCCUUUUUAGUAGUAGUGGUAGUAGUAGUAGAACAACUACAGUAAAUGUUCUAACAACAUACAUACUUGGCUUUCUAGACUUUAUGCUUGUGAUUGUGGUGUUAUUGAUAUCUCGAAAUGACUAGAGCUCGAGGUUAGGAAUAGAAACUGUAGUUAAUAGUAAUACAAGUAAAAAUAAAGGGUUGCUUUGGAUGUAUUCAAAAUUAAUCGCUUUGUGUUUUUUCAAAGUAACAUGUUUGUUAUAAGACCAAAGAAAAUGAAAACAACUCUCCAAACUCAAACCGAAUCAAGUAUAGAAAAAACACUCACAUAACUACAAUUUCAUUAUUUUCAACUCCUAACUGUUAAUAAACUCGACUUUCGCUUCUAGCAAGUCAACUUUCACUUUGUGUUGGACCAUUCAAUACUUUAAGAUCUUCAUUUGCUACUUUUUAAUUUUAUAAUAUAAAUAUAAAUAAACAUAUAGUAUUUAUUAUUUAAACGGGUUGGCUAUGAUAUAAAUAAUAACUAAUAUAUUUAAUUACAUGUAUCGAAAAUCUCAACGUAAUUCCUAUUGUAGACUUGGCAAAACAUGACAUGACACGAAAUUAGCAGGUUAGUAUCAGAGACUUCGACACGUUUAUGUAAACGGGUUGACACGACACGACACGGUAAUUAAACGGGUAGGGUUAAGGUCAAGACUUUCGACUCGAAGAUGACUCGAAUAUGACCCGUUUAAUUAUAUGUUAGUAUUUAUUAUAAAUUUCAUAUUUUUAUAAAUAUAUUAUAUGUUAUAGACUUAUAAUGAGCCAAACUCAAGAAUUACAAGUAAUAUUCAAAUUUUCAAAGUUACUUAAUUUUAGUCAUCUUCACCACCUAUCUCUUUGCUCUCCAACUUUAACUUUUUUCAUUUUUCCUUCUUGACUUACUAUAAAUUUUUUCAUUUCAUCUCACAACUCUAGUGUUUCAAUUUUUCAUUUUUGCCUCCACAACUCUACUUUCCAACCUUUAAAAUAUUUCAACCCAACAUGACACAACAUAUUUAUAAGGUUUAAACCUUAACCCGAAACCAACAUGAAACCGACACAAAAAUAAACGGGUUGACAUGACACGAUAAUUAAACAGAUCGGGUUAAGGUCAAGCCCUUUCAACCCGUUUAUUGUCUUGACACGACAUGAAUCCGACACGACACGACACGUUUGCCAGGUCUACUCUAUUGCUUCCAAAUAACAACAAUUUAUUUGAUAAUCUUGUCAAAAAUUCUAAAUACGUGCAAAUAUCAACUCUGGCGUAUGGCUACAACUUUUUGUUAUGAUAUUCAUAAUUUGUUUGAACCCGUUUGUAUUAAGCAUUGAUCAUAAUUUUAGUUAAUUAAAUGAUAAAGUGCAUCAAAUAAAUGGUCCACACAAAAUCAGGUCCACAGCCCAUUACGUGGAAGGUUAAAUAAAAAAGUACUAUCAAUAUUUUUACUACGUCUAAGAGAAAAUACAAAAAUGGUCCAUGUGGUACAGUGUAAUAGGUACAUAAAGUUUGAUUUCGACAAAAUGGACAAAUUCGGUGCUUGUGUUUUUUUGAUAUUUACAUGGAUCGUCCCUAACGCUUUGUUCCCGAGUUCCACUUAAGGAGAGAAAUGAGAGGAUACGGAGGGAAAGUGAGGGGUGUCGAAGGAAAAUCGUGUUCCCGAGUUUCAUUAAUGGAAGGAAAGUGAGGGGAGGGAAAAGAUUUUAGAGUCAUAUUUUCCUUCCAAAUUGAGCGGAUUUGAGAAGAAAGUGAGGGGAAGAAAAAUUUUAAGUUUUAUUUUCUUUUUCCUCCUAACUCGGGACACAAAAACUAAAAAUUUUCCUUUCAUUUCCUUCGAACUCGGAAACAUAGAAUAAUUAAUAUUUUCCUUCACCUCCCUUUCUUUCUGUCAAAAUUUUCCUUCCCUUUCCUUUAAUGAAUUUACAUAAAAACUCGGGAACAAGACGUAAGUCGCUAACCACAGAGCUGGUUAAAUACAGUGAAAUUACAUUUUUACCCUUACUUUUUUAUUUUUCAUAUAUUUGUUUUUUAUUAAAAGAUCUUAUAAUUACAUAAAUGACCCCUCUCGCCCACAUCCACAUCCACCCCACCAUCACCUCCGGCUAACAUAAAAACACAUACACUCUAAAUCCUACUCUUAAACGAUAUCUUUGUCCACUACGAAACUUAAGCCCUAAUCACUCAAAAGAAAUGACACCUUUGUAAACACUUGAUAUCUCUUAGGAUCACAUCAUAUAGUUAUAUCAUCAAAUAAAUUAAAUAUAGUUUAAGAUUUAAUAUUAUUUUUAACUAUUAUUAUAUUUUCAAAAUGUCAAUAAACUUUAAAAGUUUUGUAAACACUUGAUAUCUCUUAGGAUCACGUAAUUUUUUUUUAUGUUCUAUUAUUUUUUUAUGGUUAAUUAAAAACACAAAACUUUUAAAGUUUAUUGACAUUUUGAUUUGUAUUUUAAAUUUAGUAUCAUAUUUAAAUUACAAAUUACGUAUUGUAUUAAUAGUUUCAAAUGGAUAUGGCUGAAGUAUAUUGAUCUCUAUUAUAGAAGAUAUAUAAAUAUUUAAUUGAUGUUCGAAGUUCACGAUCUUUUAUUUUUGUUGAAAAAAUUAACAAAACAAAUAAGUUUACAACUAUUAAACAUAAACGAUAAUCGCUUACUCAUUGGAACCUAAAACCCAAAAUAAAACCCUAAAGAAAAUCAAACAUGUAAAACAAAAAAAAGCUUGGAACAAACGUUUUUAGUUUGAUUUUUGUUUUAAACAAAAAGCAAACCGAUCAAACCUCAUUCAAGCCAUAUCACCUAGGUGGUGUAGCACGAGUACGAUUAAACAUGCCAUAUCACCUAGGUGGUGUGGAAUGAGUUGUGUGAUUUAAAUCAAGUAAACAAGGGUUUGCAAAAUGGCCUAGUAUCCUCAUAGAUUAAUGGCCUAAGAGGUCAUGUGUCGUGAGAAUUUAGGAUGGCAAUCGAUGGAACGAACGACAAGACCACGAAAUGAAAUUGAGAAGAAACUGAAUUUUGAAUUCAUGUUCAUGUUUUUGUCUAGUGAAAAAAAAACAAUGUGAUGUCGUGUUUAAAAUUCAUCACGAAAUUAACACAAUAUAGCAUGUUUUUAUCGUGUUUUUGGUAUUAUGUAUCAUUAAAUAUGAAUUAUAUAAAAUAAUGGUUAUUUUGUUGCGUUUUUCGUGUUUUAAUUGAUGCGUUUUCAUGUUACUGAAAAAAUUUGUCGUGUUCGUGAUACAUAAAACUUUGUCAUGUAAUACCGUAUCAGACAAAAACAAGUCACGAUUACCGACAAAAACAAAUCACGAUUACCUGAUUCGAGAGACCACAUGUUGAUGUAAAUCAAGGUAUAAUCCAUCUUGAGAGAAUGCUCAAAAAGCUUAACAAACUAAAAAGAUAAAUCAUACCUAUUAUGACAACUUACAUCACACCCAGACCAAAGAUUGUUCAAAUAUAGGUAAAUUCCGAAACACUAACAAUUUAGUGAUUAUGCCAAAGUACAUCUUUUUACACCAUUUCUAACAUGUAACAUCAUUUUUUGCACAAUGAUGGAGCACUACUUUUUGCAAACUUAAAUUAUCUCCUACCUAUUAUAUCAAAAUAAUAUUUCAAAUAUAUANNNNNNNNNNNNNNNNNNNNNNNNNNNNNNNNNNNNNNNNNNNNNNNNNNNNNNNNNNNNNNNNNNNNNNNNNNAACUUGUGUUUUGUCUUUUUAUUACUAUAAUUCAUAAAUCAUAUCAUAAGUUUGAAAUAUGUAAACACAAUAUCAAAAUACAAAUAAUACAAAUUAAAACAUUAAAUAUGUAAAUGAAUUAUACUAUAAAUAUGUAUCAUGACAAAUAGUGUUAGGGUUCAUUUUGAGUGAUUAAGAUGUAAAAUUUUAUAAUGUAAAAUUAUACAAUGAAUUCAAUAAUAUUAGAGUUAGUUUUAAGUGGUUGAGAUGUGAAAUAUCAUUCGAUUUAACUUAAUUUUUUAGAGUUAUUUAUAUUUCUAUAAUGAAUUCAAUAGUGUUAAGGUUAGUUUUAAGGGGUUGAAAUAUAAAAUUUCAUUGCUGCUUAACUUGACAUUUUUAGGGUUAUUUAUAAUUUUAUAAUGAAUUCAAUAAUGUUAGGGUUAGUUUUUAAAUGGUUGAUAUUAGGAAUUUCAUAGUCAUUUAACUUGACUUUUUUAGGGUUAUUUAUUAUGAAGAAUAUAACAAAUAACCCAAAAUAAGAUAGAAUGAAUAUUAUUCAUGAUCUAACUUACAACAAAUUAAAUCUAUUAGAUCCAACUAUUUCAUAGAUCUAGUUUUCAAAACCAAUACUAAUCCAAUAACUUUCAAUAUUAAUCUUAUAAAUCAAUAUUAUCAAAAAGAUAAUAACUAAACCUCAAUAGAAAUCAAAUUGAUCAUCAAAAAUAUAAUAACUAACCUUUUUACAAACCCCAAAAUAAGAAUAUUUGGUACUAAUUCUUCCUCCUUUGUUUCAAACGUCAAUCCUCAAAAAUUCUUGAUGACAAACUUCUAGAUCUCACGCAGCUCUUCUUUUUCUUCGUUUCCUCUCUCAUCUUAUUGCUAUUUUCAAACGUCGAUGGUGGUGGGAUUGGGAUUAUUUAUAAAGGGAAUAGGGGAUGAAUUUAGGGCUUCC